rnacentral:tRNA from 1 species
UACCCUUUUAGUAUAAAUAGUACAAUUGACUUCCAAUCAAUUAGCUUCGGUACCACCCCGAAAAAGAGUAA